rnacentral:rRNA from 1 species
ACGAUCUCAGUUCGGACUGAAGGCUGAAAUUCGCCUUCACGAAGUCGGAAUUGCUAGUAAUGGCAGGUCAGCAUACUGCCGUGAAUACGUUCCCGGGCCUUGUACACACCGCCCGUCACACCAUGAGAGUUAGGAAUACCCGAAGCCUGUGAGCUAACUUUUAGAGGCAGCAGUCGAAGGUAGAACUAAUGAUUGGGGUGAAGUCGUAACAAGGUACC